ensembl:lncRNA
CAGACUAAUAAAGGUCUGUUUUACUUUCCAACUUGUCCGGUGUGUUCCUUCCCGGGCGAUCGUCGCUGCAGUCAGCUCCUUGGAGCGUUUGAACAUUCACACCUGCAGCCCUGAUCGACCAUGUAUAAUGUGUGAGUACCUCGAGCUGCCAUGCUGUGAGGAAGCCAAGAGAGAUGGGGAAGUCAUAUGCAGCUUUCAAGUCCUAAUCUUCAAGUCAUCACAAACCAGAAGCCAGACACUUGAGUGGAAGAGUCUUUAGAUGAUUCCAGCUUCCAAUAUCUGAAAUUCCAGUCAUCAUAGAGCAGGUACCAG